UUUUCACUUCCUUUUAUCCAAUUUAAGUUAUGCAUCGAAGACCAUUGGUUGUUCUGUGUUUUGUCAUACUUUUUAAGAUCUGCCCCUCUUGAAUCUAGAUUUGCUUUCGUAUCUGAAUUUUCAACAGAUCGUUAGUGACUUGUAUGAUUUCUUAUGAUAAAUUAUAGAUCUAUUCCUUGCUUCUUUGUAAUGCCUGUGCAUUUUUAGAGUGAGUAAUGCUGGUUGCCCUAAGGUUGCCUUGGGUCUUGUCAUUUUUCUUGUGCACACCCAUUUUAAUAUUGUGUAAGUCUCCCUGAUAUCUUUUUUCUUCUAUAUAUGCCAUAGUUUUCAUUACUGAAUACAAGUUAGUGACAAAAAAAUGUCCAAGCUGUUAAUAUGACAACCCAAGCCAUCUUCAGGAGAAUUUCAGGAAGAAGCAGAUAUGCCUAUUAAUAUUUUCAUCAAUUUCUAUUCAGAACCUGAAUACAAAUUUAAGGUGUCGAGGACAAAUUUCUUUCCAUAACCUAAAGUUCUUGGUAUUGAUUUGUCCUGGAGAAUGCACAAAUCAUCCGAUGGGCAAAGAAGAAGAAUGCAGAUAUGUAUGGGUCUUCUGAAACCAUUCAAGGUAUAUCCGCAAAUACUCUCACUGAGUAAGAGCAGUUACCUUUUAACUGUGGAUCAAGAAGCCAAGUGAUGCGGCUAGUGGACUCAUUUCGUCCAUGGAUAUAAGGAGAUCACGUGAUGAUAAUGAUCCUAAUGACCUUUUUUGAUUUCGUUGCAUUUGUCUUGGAUAUUCAAUUAUCAUGGUGUAAUUGUGUGGUUGGAGUGAAUCUUAGAAUAUUGAAGGUUUUGUGUUUAAA